rnacentral:tRNA from 1 species
GGGAUUGUGGCUCAGUGGUAGAGCGCUUGCCUAGCAUGUGUGAGGCACUGGGUUCAAUCCUCAGCACCA